rnacentral:tRNA from 1 species
GACCCCUUCGUCUAAAGGUGAGGAUAGGAGGCCUUCAACCUCCAGAUGCAGAGUUCGACUCUCGCAGGGGCCA